rnacentral:lncRNA from 1 species
AUUUUAUUGUUCAAUUUCCCACUUUAACAGAAUUUAAACAGAGUGGUGGCAAGCCGUAUCUGUCGGUGAUUACUGGGAGAGGAAAUCACAGCCAGGGAGGAGUUGCUCGCAUCAAACCAGCUGUCAUUAAAUACCUCACAAGCCACAGCUUCAGGUUCUCUGAAAUUAAGCCAGGGUGCUUGAAAGUCAUGCUAAAGUGAAACCUAGAGCCCUGGACUUUGAAGCGUGAGGUUUGUGGGCUGACGUUGGUUUUUACUUGUAGAAAUUCAGUCAGUUCUAUUUUCAAAUGUAUUUUAUUAGGAAUGUAAAACAAGAAAAGUGUUUUACAGAAUCCAAGGAAAGUUGUUUGUUUUUUACUUGAUCAAAUGCCAGUCCGUUACUUGUUGAAACAUUAAAGGGAAUUUUUAUUAAUUACAAAAUGUCU